ACGUACACUCCUACGGGAGGCAGCAGUGGGGAAUUUUGGACAAUGGGCGAAAGCCUGAUCCAGCCAUGCCGCGUGCAGGAUGAAGGCCUUCGGGUUGUAAACUGCUUUUGUACGGAACGAAACGGCCUUUUCUAAUAAAGAGGGCUAAUGACGGUACCGUAAGAAUAAGCACCGGCUAACUACGUGCCAGCAGCCGCGGUAAUACGUAGGGUGCAAGCGUUAAUCGGAAUUACUGGGCGUAAAGCGUGCGCAGGCGGUUAUGUAAGACAGUUGUGAAAUCCCCGGGCUCAACCUGGGAACUGCAUCUGUGACUGCAUAGCUAGAGUACGGUAGAGGGGGAUGGAAUUCCGCGUGUAGCAGUGAAAUGCGUAGAUAUGCGGAGGAACACCGAUGGCGAAGGCAAUCCCCUGGACCUGUACUGACGCUCAUGCACGAAAGCGUGGGGAGCAAACAGGAUUAGAUACCCCAGUAGUCCCAUGA
rnacentral:rRNA from 1 species